rnacentral:rRNA from 1 species
GAUGAACGCUGGCGGCGUGCUUAACACAUGCAAGUCGAACGGUGAACGAGGGAGCUUGCUCCCUCCGGAUCAGUGGCGAACGGGUGAGUAACACGUGAGCAAUCUGCCCCGAACUCUGGGAUAAGCGCUGGAAACGGCGUCUAAUACCGGAUACGACGCGCGAAGGCAUCUUCUGCGCGUGGAAAGAAUUUCGGUUCGGGAUGAGCUCGCGGCCUAUCAGCUAGUCGGUGAGGUAACGGCUCACCAAGGCGACGACGGGUAGCCGGCCUGGGAGGGUGACCGGCCACACUGGGACUGGGACACGGCCCAGACUCCUACGGGAGGCAGCAGUGGGGAAUAUUGCACAAUGGGCGCAAGCCUGAUGCAGCAACGCCGCGUGAGGGACGACGGCCUUCGGGUUGUAAACCUCUUUUAGUAGGGAAGAAGCGAAAGUGACGGUACCUGCAGAAAAAGCACCGGCUAACUACGUGCCAGCCGCCGCCGUAACAC